UUUAAUCCAUUCCCAUUCAUACAUGCCGCCUUCUUUCCUUCCUCUCCAUCCUUUCAAAUCUCCAUUAUCAUUACCUUACUUUAACCUCCCCCCCUCUAUAUAUAGAUGACGCAUCACUAGUCUUUUGCGUCAUAUUCUCACCCUACUUCUGUUGUUUAAAAUUCAUAAAAACAGAGCUCUUUGUUCGUUGUUUUUCCCACAGUUUCUGAAAAGAAAAGAUAAGAAGAUGGAAAGGUUGAACUCAAAGCUGUACAUGGAGAACUGUCUGAUAAUGCAAGAGAAUGAGAAGUUAAGGAAGAAAGCACAGAUUCUGAAUCAAGAGAAUCAAGCAUUGCUCUCACAGCUGAAACAGAGGAUAACAAUGGGUGCUCAAAAUGGGUCUCAAACCACCAAUGGAACUCAUGCUUCUUCUUCUGCGUCUAGGAACCCUUGAAGAUUAGUGGAAUGACCAAAUGGGACUUGUGUUAUCUCUUUUAGUUUUAAAUUAAAUCCCCCUUCAUUUUGUAGUUUAAGUAGAUAUAGGGAUGGAUGGAUACUAGGGGUGGGGGUAGAAUUGGUACUUUGGUAUUUCUCUAUGGUGUAGUAUGUUAUAUAUCAGUUUUAAUGACAAAUUUCUGUUUCAAAAUUA